GGGGGGUUUGGAUUUAUGGCAGGCCUGUCCCCCUGACCCUCUCAUAGUGUCAUAUGCCAGAGCAAAAACCGUGGCCCUGAAUCAUUGCCUGGUCUCUGUGCCUAUAGGCGGCUGGCACUGAGGCCUGUUGUACUGUG
rnacentral:snoRNA from 1 species